rnacentral:lncRNA from 1 species
AAAAUAUAACACAAGUUGGCAGCAGCCCUUAUUCGUAGUUACUAAUCUAUCUAUAUGGCCAUAGUAGCUCAUGUUGUUCGGAUGGCUUGGUGAUGGGGGCUAGUUUUAUGGCUUCCCCAUUGGAGGGUGUCCUGGAUAGUGACCAUAAGGUGGCUCAUACACCGGUGGUUUCUUAGGAGGUUCAUAUACUGGUGGCUUCUUCGGAGGUUCGUAAACCGGUGGUUUGGGCUCUGGCUUCUCUUUCUUCGGAGGUUCAUAAACUGGUGGUUUUGGUGGCUUAGGUUCAUAUACUGGUGGUUUUGGUGGCUUAGGUUCAUACACUGGAGGCUUCUUUGGAGGCUCAUAUACUGGUGGUUUGGGUUCUGGCUUCUCUUUCUUUGGAGGUUCAUAAACUGGUGGCUUUGGUGGCUUAGGCUCAUAAACUGGUGGCUUUGGUGGCUUAGGUUCAUAUACUGGUGGUUUCUUUGGAGGCUCAUACACCGGAGGCUUCUUUGGAGGCUCAUAAACUGGUGGCUUUGGUGGCUUAGGUUCAUAAACUGGUGGCUUAGGUUCAUAUACUGGUGGCUUUGGUGGCUUAGGCUCAUAAACUGGUGGCUUUGGUGGCUUAGGUUCAUAAACUGGCGGUUUCUUUGGAGGCUCAUACACCGGAGGCUUCUUUGGAGGCUCAUAUACUGGUGGUUUGGGUUCUGGCUUUGGAGGCUUAGGUUCAUAUACUGGUGGUUUCUUUGGAGGCUCAUAAACUGGUGGCUUUGGUGGCUUAGGCUCAUAAACUGGUGGCUUUGGAGGCUUAGGUUCAUAAACUGGCGGUUUCUUUGGAGGCUCAUACACCGGUGGUUUCUUGGGAGGUUCAUAAACUGGUGGUUUGGGUUCUGGCUUUUCCUUCUUUGGAGGUUCGUAAACCGGUGGCUUGGGCUCCGGCUUCUCCUUCUUUGGGGGUUCAUAGACAGGGGGUUGGGGUUCUGGCUUCUUUGGAGGUUCGUAAACUGGUGGUGGUUUGUAAAUUGGGGGUGGCUUCACCUCGGGAGGUUUGUAAACAGGAGUAGGUGGUUUCCCAUAGCCGGGUAACUCGUAGGUACCAAGGGAGGGAGUGGCGAGAACCACCACUCCCAGGAGCAGUACUAGUAAGUGUGUAAGAGACAUCUUGGAGCUCUGGCUUUCGAUAGGGCAACUCGAA